GGCUCAGGAUGAACGCUGGCGGUCUGCUUAACACAUGCAAGUCGAACGGAAUCCUUCGGGAUUUAGUGGCGGACGGGUGAGUAACACGUAAGAACCUGCCUCUAGGACGGGGACAACAGUUGGAAACGACUGCUAAACCCGGAUGAGCCGAAAGGUAAAAGAUUAAUCGCCUAGAGAGGGGCUUGCGUCUGAUUAGCUAGUUGGUGAGGUAAGAGCCCACCAAGGCGACGAUCAGUAGCUGGUCUGAGAGGAUGAUCAGCCACACUGGGACUGAGACACGGCCCAGACUCCUACGGGAGGCAGCAGUGGGGAAUUUUCCGCAAUGGGCGAAAGCCUGACGGAGCAAGACCGCGUGGGGGAGGAAGGUUCUUGGAUUGUCAACCCCUUUUCUCAGGGAAGAACACAAUGACGGUACCUGAGGAAAAAGCAUCGGCUAACUCCGUGCCAGCAGCCGCGGUAAUACGGGGGAUGCAAGCGUUAUCCGGAAUGAUUGGGCGUAAAGAGUCCGUAGGUAGUCAUCCAAGUCUGCUGUUAAAGAGCGAGGCUUAACCUCGUAAAGGCAGUGGAAACUGGAAGACUAGAGUGUAGUAGGGGCAGAGGGAAUUCCUGGUGUAGCGGUGAAAUGCGUAGAGAUCAGGAAGAACACCGGUGGCGAAGGCGCUCUGCUGGGCUAUAACUGACACUGAGGGACGAAAGCUAGGGGAGCGAAUGGGAUUAGAUACCCCAGUAGUCCUAGCGGUAAACGAUGGAAACUAGGUGUGGCCUGUAUCGACCCGAG
rnacentral:rRNA from 1 species